rnacentral:rRNA from 1 species
UUGAGCGAUUUAAUUCGGUAAAGGGCGGCGGACGGGUGAGUAACGCGUGGGUAACCUACCCUGUACACACGGAUAACAUACCGAAAGGUAUGCUAAUACGGGAUAACAUAUUUGGGAGGCAUCUCUUAAAUAUCAAAGGUGAGCCAGUACAGGAUGGACCCGCGUCUGAUUAGCUAGUUGGUAAGGUAACGGCUUACCAAGGCGACGAUCAGUAGCCGACCUGAGAGGGUGAUCGGCCACAUUGGAACUGAGACA